GACUACAGGGGUAUCUAAUCCUGUUUGCUACCCACGCUUUCGUGCAUGAGCGUCAGUAUCGACCCAGGGGGCUGCCUUCGCCAUUGGUGUUCCUCCACAUCUCUACGCAUUUCACUGCUACACGUGGAAUUCCACCCCCCUCUGCCGUACUCUAGCCUUGCAGUCACAAACGCAGUUCCCAGGUUAAGCCCGGGGAUUUCACGCCUGUCUUACAAAACCGCCUGCGCACGCUUUACGCCCAGUAAUUCCGAUUAACGCUCGCACCCUACGUAUUACCGCGGCUGCUGGCACGUAGUUAGCCGGUGCUUCUUAUUCCGGUACCGUCAUCUGCACAGGGUAUUAACCCAUGCAUUUUCUUCCCGGCUGAAAGAGCUUUACAACCCGAAGGCCUUCUUCACUCACGCGGCAUGGCUGGAUCAGGGUUGCCCCCAUUGUCCAAAAUUCCCCACUGCAGCCGCCCGUAGG
rnacentral:rRNA from 1 species